CAAGCGUUAUCCGGAAUCAUUGGGUUUAAAGGGUCCGUAKGCGGGUUUAUAAGUCAGUGGUGAAAGCCCAUCGCUCAACGAUGGAACGGCCAUUGAUACUGUAGAUCUUGAAUUAUUAGGAAGUAACUAGAAUAUGUAGUGUAGCGGUGAAAUGCUUAGAGAUUACAUGGAAUACCAAUUGCGAAGGCAGGUUACUACUAAUGGAUUGACGCUGAUGGACGAAAGCGUGGGUAGCGAACAGGAUUAGAUACCCUGGUAGUCCACGCCGUAAACGAUGGAUACUAGCUGUUCGGAGCAAUCUGAGUGGCUAAGCGAAAGUGAUAAGUAUCCCACCUGGGGAGUACGUUCGCAAGAAUG
rnacentral:rRNA from 1 species